rnacentral:rRNA from 1 species
AGGGAAUAUUGGUUAAUGGGCGAAAGCCUGACCCAGCAACGCCGCGUGCGCGAUGAAGGCCUUCGGGUUGUAAAGCGCUUUUAAGUGGGAUGAGGAAGGACAGUACCACUAGAAUAAGUCUCGGCUAACUACGUGCCAGCAGCCGCGGUAACACGUAGGAGACGAGCGUUAUCCGGAUUUACUGGGUGUAAAGCGCGUGCAGGCGGUAUGGAAAGUUGGAUGUGAAAGCUCCCGGCUUAACUGGGAGAGGUCGUUCAAAACUACCAAACUAGAGUACAGCAGAGGGGAGUGGAAUUCCGAGUGUAGCGGUAAAAUGCAUAGAUAUUCGGAAGAACACCAGUGGCGAAGGCGGCUCCCUGGGCUGAAACUGACGCUCAGACGCGAAAGCUAGGGUAGCGAACG